rnacentral:rRNA from 1 species
AGCGAACGCUGGCGGCAGGCCUAACACAUGCAAGUCGAACGAUCCUUCGGGAUAGUGGCGGACGGGUGAGUAACACGUGGGAACGUACCUUUAGGUUCGGGAUAACUCAGGGAAACUUGAGCUAAUACCGGAUGUGCCCUUCGGGGGAAAGAUUUAUCGCCUUUAGAGCGGCCCGCGUUAGAUUAGCUAGUUGGUGAGGUAAAGGCUCACCAAGGCUCCGAUCUAUAGCUGGUCUGAGAGGAUGAUCAGCCACACUGGGACUGAGACACGGCCCAGACUCCUACGGGAGGCAGCAGUGGGGAAUCUUGCGCAAUGGGCGAAAGCCUGACGCAGCCAUGCCGCGUGAAUGAUGAAGGUCUUAGGAUUGUAAAAUUCUUUUAGCAGGGACGAUAAUGACGGUACCUGCAGAAAAAGCCCCGGCUAACUUCGUGCCAGCCGCCGCAGUAA